AAAUGUGUAUAAAUAAGAAUGGUACUAAUGGCGUAAGUAGAGGGUGUAAAAGAGGAGCUCGGAAAAGGCCGUUCCAGCACUUGCACGCAAUGGGGAACCUUUUCUCUUGCCUUGAUAUCGCUUCUGUGCGAGGAAAUAAAGGCUGCAACAACAACUACGGAGGAGGGCAACAAAACAUCACUCGUGAAUCCUUCAACAACCACGGAAGUGGUUCCCAGAGUUUCAACAAUGCCAGGAUUAAUAAUCGUUCAAACAACUAGUAUUAGCGAGGCGCUUAUGUGGUUUUACUGUUUCAAGCAACGUAUGAAAUUAUGAGUGAAGGGAGUGCAGUGUUAUUGUUCCUUCUUUCCUGUCUUAGCCUGUGGUUUCAAUGUAAACAAUCUUUUAACUUUUUUUUUUUUGGGAGUGAAGAUACCGUAUGCUUUCCUUCUUUUGGUGUUCGGUGGCUUCAAUAACAAGUGUUGGGUUUUGUUUGUACUUGGAUAAUGAUAUUUUAACUACUAAAUUUUGACAACUUUAUUUUAUAA